CGCCCCCACAGCUCCUCCCCAACCUCCCCUCCCUGCCUGCGCCCGCGUCUGUGCCCCCGUCCUGGGCCACCUGGAACCCGUCCCCAGCAAACAGCUCCCCGGAGGGCUCCGAGCGCCGAAGAGCCGACGCGGCCAGAACUAAACAGGCAACCAGCGCCGCUGCUGCGUCAGGGCCAAGCGGAAGCCCUUACUGCUGGAAUCCAGGCACUGCUGAUGGCUGGCUGUCAGGAUGGUCAGUGGUAUUAGCUGGGCGUGUGAUGUCCGUCCUCCAGCAGGCCAGCCCUGGCUCAUUCACAUGGUGCUGAUUACAGGAUUCUGAAGAGAAGCAAGACACGGUAAGUCCAAAGCGUAAAUGCUUUUCAAGCUCCCCAGUGGGAAAUUCCAUCUCACUCAUUCUCUGGGACCUCCCCUGCCCUCAGAGUUUUGCCAAGGGCUAAGGAUCGUGCAUAGGUCCAGGUGCUGAGGCACAGCCCAUGGUCACCAGUCCUGGUACAUAAAUCACCCUGAGCUUGUACACAUGGUCUCUUUCCCAGGGUGCCACUGGCUGCCUUGUGGAGAACUCCUGGAAGGAGAGAGAUGGAAACUCCAGCUAGCGUUCAGCUGGGACAGUGGCAGUGGGAGAGGAGAGGGGCUAAGAAGGAGGAUGGACAGGACUGGGCAGUGCUUGGAAUGGGGCCAGGAAGGGAGCCCCACAGCCUGAGUACAAAGGCCAUUUUAUUGCCUGGUCUUUCCAGCUUGGCAUGCCACCACUGCAGAAGGAGAAGCCCUCACAGCGCCCAUCGCUGCAUGUGAAGCAGAAAAUACUAACACCUGGGGUGGGGCCAGGUGCAG
rnacentral:lncRNA from 1 species